GGUUAAUGCGUGAGAGAGUCUCCAGCUUUCCAAAAGCUAGGGGCACCGAAGGGGCAAAGCCGCCAGGCCGAAACUCUCAGGUAAAAGAAUCGCGCAUUCUCG
rnacentral:ncRNA from 2 species